UACCAGCACCCCGAGUGGUCGGGACGUUUUAUUGGGCCUAAAGCAUCCGUAGCCGGUUCUACAAGUCUUCCGUUAAAUCCACCUGCUUAACAGAUGGGCUGCGGAAGAUACUAUAGAGCUAGGAGGCGGGAGAGGCAAGCGGUACUCGAUGGGUAGGGGUAAAAUCCGUUGAUCCAUUGAAGACCACCAGUGGCGAAGGCGGCUUGCCAGAACGCGCUCGACGGUGAGGGAUGAAAG
rnacentral:rRNA from 1 species